GCCCUAAACCGAAUGAAUAUUAUGGCCGCUGCUUCUGGGGUGGUUUAACAGACGAAGGUCUAUGCCCUGAAGUUGGAUAUAAAAGGUGCAGUUAUUCCGCCUAUAGAAGUAAUAUAAGGAGACGUCCCUGCGCCUGCCUGCGUGGAUAUUGCAGGAAUAGGAAUGGGACUUGUGUGCCGUGCAACGAAUGCGAUACAUGCAUAUACAGAAAAACAGAGCUUUCCGAUGAAUUCUACACGCAUUUUACCAAUCCUUGUGAAAAAGCGAUUUGCAUGUUCCGAAAACGCUUCGUACUGAAUUGCACCAAUCCAAAGCCAGAACCAUAUGGAAACUGCGUAUACAAGCGUGCUGUUGGUGAUUAUCCAAGGUGCUGUGAAUGGGUGCCGACCUGUUAAUUCCUGGUGAAGACAUAUUAUACCUCGUUAGUUGUUUAGAAUAUGUGUUUCUAGGC